rnacentral:rRNA from 1 species
CGCCUGUUUAACAAAAACAUGUCCUUUUGUUAAUGAUUGAAGGUCGGGUCUGCCCAAUGAUAUUUGAAUGGCCGCGGUAUAUUGACCGUGCAAAGGUAGCAUAAUCAUUAGUUUCUUAAUUAGGAGCUGGAAUGAAUGAUUUGACGAGGGAUUAGCUGUCUCUUAUUGAUUUAUUGAAUUUUAUUUUAAAGUUAUAAAGCUUUAAUUUAAUAGAAAGACGAGAAGACCCUAUAGAGUUUGACUUACAUUAAUAAUUUACUUUUAUUUUAGUUAUUAUUGUAUGUUUUGUUGGGGUGACAGAAAAAUUAAUAAAACUUUUUCUUUAUUAUAAUAUUAAUUUAUAGGUUUUUGAUCCAUUGUUUAUGAUUAUAAGGUUAAAUUACCUUAGGGAUAACAGCGUAAUUUGUUUUGAGAGUUCUUAUCGAUAAUCAAGAUUGCGACCUCGAUGUUGGAUUAA